CGUGAGUAACCUGCCUUGGAGUGGGGAAUAACAGCUGGAAACAGCUGCUAAUACCGCAUAAUAUAUCUGGGUCGCAUGGCUCUGGAUAUCAAAGAUUUAUCGCUCUGAGAUGGACUCGCGUCUGAUUAGCUAGUUGGUGGGGCAACGGCCCACCAAGGCGACGAUCAGUAGCCGGACUGAGAGGUUGGCCGGCCACAUUGGGACUGAGACACGGCCCAGACUCCUACGGGAGGCAGCAG
rnacentral:rRNA from 1 species